rnacentral:rRNA from 1 species
UACGAAGGGGGCUAGCGUUGUUCGGUAUCACUGGGCUUAAAGGGCGCGUAGGCGGCAGUUCAAGUCCGGGGUGAAAUCCUCCAGCUCAACUGGAGAAGUGCCUUGGAUACUGGAUUGCUCGAGGGAGGUAGGGGUCGAGGGAACUUCUGGUGGAGCGGUGAAAUGCGUUGAUAUCAGAAGGAACGCCGGUGGCGAAAGCGCUCGACUGGACCUCUUCUGACGCUGAGGCGCGAAAGCUAGGGGAGCAAACGGG